rnacentral:lncRNA from 1 species
AAAAAUUCUUACAAGAUUAUCCCAAGGGUACCUCAUUUUUGCAAGACUUUAAGCAUCUUUCAGUAUGAUAAAAGUGAUUUUGCUGUCUGAAUAUACUGAAGAUAUGAAAAAUGUCGUACAGCUGUUAAAAGAAGCAGCCUUAUCUUCACCAGCUCACAAUGAUAAAUUGUAGUUUCUGGACAAUCAUGACAACACAAUUGAUCAUGGUAUAACUUGAACUAUGACCUAUCCAUUGCAUGUCUCUAUGUUGAUGUUCACUUUUGUUAUAAUUCAGUUUUAGUUUAAAAUUUUAUAUUAGAAUAGUCCAGGC